UUAAAAGAAAUUUUCUCUGACUUUGAUGCUAAAUACAGAGGAGCCUUUUGUGAAGCCAAGAUCAAGACAGCAAAAAGGCUUGUCAAAGUCAAGGUAACAUUUAGACAUGAUUCUUCAACGGUGGAAGUUCAGGAUGACCACAUAAAGGGCCCAUUAAAGGUUGGAGCUAUUGUGGAAGUGAAGAAUCUUGAUGGUGCAUAUCAGGAAGCUGUUAUCAAUAAAUUAACAGAUGCGAGUUGGUACACUGUAGUUUUUGAUGAUGGAGAUGAGAAGACACUGAGACGAUCUUCACUGUGCCUAAAGGGAGAGAGGCAUUUUGCUGAAAGUGAAACAUUAGACCAGCUCCCACUCACCAACCCUGAACAUUUUGGCACUCCAGUCAUAGGAAAGAAAACAAAUAGAGGAAGAAGAUCUAAUCAUAUACCAGAGGAAGAGUCUUCUUCAUCCUCCAGUGAUGAAGAUGAGGAUGAUAGGAAACAGAUUGAUGAGCUACUAGGAAAAGUUGUGUGUGUAGAUUAUGUUAGUUUGGAUAAAAAGAAAACACUAUGGUUUCCUGCAUUGGUGGUUUGUCCUGAUUGUAGUGAUGAAAUUGCUGUGAAAAAAGAUAAUAUUCUUGUUCGAUCUUUCAAAGAUGGCAAAUUUACUUCAGUGCCAAGAAAGGAUGUCCAUGAAAUUACUAGUGACACUGCACCAAAGCCUGAUGCUGUAUUAAAACAAGCCUUUGACCAGGCACUUGAAUUUCACAAAAGUAGAACUAUUCCUGCUAACUGGAAGACUGAAUUGAAAGAAGAUAGCUCUAGCAGUGAAGCAGAGGAAGAGGAGGAGGAGGAAGAUGAUGAGAAAGAAAAGGAGGACAAUAGCAGUGAAGAAGAGGAAAAUAAUACUAAUUUUCUUCAGCAGUUGUACAAAUUUAUGGAGGAUAGAGGAACACCAAUUAACAAACGACCUGUGCUUGGAUAUCGAAAUUUGAAUCUCUUUAAGUUAUUCAGACUUGUACACAAACUUGGAGGAUUUGAUAAUAUUGAAAGUGGAGCUGUUUGGAAGCAAGUCUACCAAGAUCUUGGCAUUCCUGUCUUAAAUUCAGCUGCAGGAUACAAUGUUAAGUGUGCUUAUAAAAAAUACUUAUAUGGUUUUGAGGAGUACUGUAGAUCGGCCAAUAUUGAAUUUCAGAUGGCAUUGCCAGAGAAAGUUGUUAACAAACCAUGUAAGGAGUGUGAAAAUGUAAAAGAAAUAAAAGUUAAGGAAGAAAAUGAACCAGAGAUCAAAGAAAUAAAGAUUGAAGAGGAAGAGAAGAUAGUACCAAAAGAAGAAAAGCCUGCUGAAGAUGACAUUGAAAGAAAGGAAAAUAUUAAACCCUCUCUGGGAAGUAAAAAGAAUUUAUUAGAAUCUAUACCUACACAAACUGAUCAGGAAAAAGAAGUGAACAUGAAAAAAACAGAAGAAAAUGAAAAUCUGGAAGAUAAAGAUGAUGUGACAACUGGGGUAGAUGAAUCCCUCAGCAUAAAGGUAGAAGCUGAAGAAGAAAAAGCAAAAUCUGGAGAGAGACAGAGAGAGAGAGAGAGAGAGAGAGAGCGCGCGCAACCAGAAGAGGAGGAGGAGGAGGAGGAAGAAGAGGAUGAAGAUGAUGAUGACGCCAAUGAGGAAGAGGAGUUUGAAUGCUAUCCGCCAGGCAUGAAAGUCCAAGUGCGGUAUGGACGAGGGAAAAAUCAAAAAAUGUAUGAAGCUAGUAUUAAAGAUUCUGAUGUCGAAGGUGGAGAGGUCCUUUACUUGGUGCAUUACUGCGGAUGGAAUGUGAGAUAUGAUGAAUGGAUUAAAGCAGAUAAAAUAGUAAGGCCGGCUGAUAAAAAUGUGCCAAAGAUAAAACAUCGGAAGAAAAUAAAGGUAAGCGCUUAUUUUACAAAUUCAUCUCCUGAAAUGGUAUCUAAGCUGGAUCUUACUGAUGCCAAAAACUCCGAUACAGCUCAUAUUAAAUCCAUAGAAAUUACUUCUAUUCUUAAUGGACUUCAAGCUUCUGAAAGUUCUGCUGAAGACAGUGAGCAGGAGGAUGAGACAGGUACACACGACAUGGACAGCAAUGGCAAAGAGGAGUGUAAGGCUGACCAUUUAACGCACCCCAGGAGUGACCUUUCAAAAGAAGAGCAGAACAGUUCGUCUUUGCUAGAAGAAAACAAGGUCCACGCUGAUUUGGUAAUAUCUAAAACAGCAUCGAAAUCUCCAGAGAGAUUAAGAAAAGAUAUAGAAGGAUUAUCCGAAGAUACUGAUUAUGAAGAAGAUGAAGUCACAAAAAAGAGAAAGGAUGUCAAGAAGGACACCACAGAUAAAUCUUCAAAGCCACAAGUAAAACGUGGUAAAAGAAGAUAUUGCAAUACAGAGGAGUGUUCAAAAAACUGGAUCACCCAGCAAAAAGGACGAGAAGGCCAAGAACAAAGAAUCACUUUGCAUAGAAAACACAAGCUGACACCAACUAAGAAAUACAAUAACAGCAGAGCUAAAGAUCGAAAAGAUGUCUGGUCAAGUAUUCAGGGACAGUGGCCUAAAAAAACGCUGAAGGAGCUUUUUUCAGACUCUGACACUGAGGCUGCAGCUUCCCCACCCCACCCUGCCCCAGAGGAGGGCCUGGCAGAGGGGUCACUGCAGACCGUGGCUGAGGAGGAGAGCUGCUCACCCAGCGCCGAGCUAGAAACACCACCACCGGCCAUUGCCGACACGGAAUUUCCAAGUAGUGGCAGUAAUUCAGUGCUAAAUACCCCUCCUACCACCCCCGAAUCGCCUUCCUCCGUCACUGUCACGGAAGCCGGUCGGCAGCAGUCUUCUGUAACCGUAUCAGAAGCGCUGGCCCCAAACCAAGAAGAGGUCCGAAGUAUCAAGAGUGAAACUGAUAGCACAAUCGAGGUGGAUAGUGUUGCAGGGGAGCUCCAAGACCUGCAGUCGGAGGGGAACAGCUCGCCAGCAGGCUUUGACGCGAGUGUGAGCUCCAGCAGUAGUAACCAGCCAGAGCCAGAGCACCCUGAAAAAGCCUGUACAGGUCAGAAAAGAGGGAAAGAAGCUCAGGGAGGAGGAAGUGCAUCCAAAAAGCAGAAACGAAGCCAUAAAGCAACAGUGGUAAACAACAAAAAGAAGGGAAAAGGCACGAAUAGUAGUGAUAGUGAAGAACUUUCUGCUGGUGAAAGUGUAACUAAGACUCAGCCAGUCAAAUCAGUUUCUACUGGGAUGAAGUCGCAUAGUACCAAGUCUCCUGCAAGGACGCAGUCUCCAGGAAAAUGUGGGAAGAAUGGUGAUAAGGAUCCUGAUCUCAAGGAACCCAGUAAUCGAUUACCCAAAGUUUACAAAUGGAGUUUUCAGAUGUCGGACCUAGAAAAUAUGACAAGUGCUGAACGCAUCACAAUUCUUCAAGAAAAACUGCAAGAAAUCAGAAAACAUUAUCUGUCAUUAAAAUCUGAAGUAGCUUCCAUUGAUCGGAGGAGAAAGCGUUUAAAGAAGAAAGAGAGAGAAAGUGCUGCUACAUCCUCCUCCUCUUCUUCACCUUCAUCCAGUUCCAUAACAGCUGCUGUUAUGUUAACUUUAGCUGAACCAUCAAUGUCCAGCUCAUCACAAAAUGGAAUGUCAGUUGAGUGCAGGUGACAGCAGGACUUGCUAAAGCACUUUGCACUUAAUGGCUGUUGAGGGCCACGUCUUUUUUAUACUGCACAGUGGCACAAAAAAAAAAAAUCAGACAAGCACUAUUUUAUAUUUAAAAAUUGUUUCUUGACAAGCUGACUUGGCACUUAAGUGCACUUUUUUUAUGAAGAAAAAGUACAAUGAACUGCUUUUCCUCAAGCAAUAAUUGUUUCCAACUUGUCUGGGAAUUGUGUGUCUGGUAACUUGAAGGCCUUCCACUGUGGCAAAUGGAGGCUUUUCACUGCCUGUAGAGACAAUACAGUAAGCAUAGUUAUUGGGUUGGCCAGAACAUGGUAAGAUAACUUACUGUAUAUGUAUUCCCUUGUAUUUUGUUAAAGCUGGAGCAUUUGAUAUUUUUCCAUUUAUUUAUGAAAAAAUAUGAACCUAUUUUCAUUUGUACAAGCUAAUUGUUUUUUAAAGCAAGUCACCUUUGGGUGGCUUUAAUUGUAUAAGUCAAGCACAUGUAAUAAAUUCAAAACCUGCAGUUAACA
rnacentral:lncRNA from 1 species